CGAAAGAACUCGUUUUUUCUUUAAUACCAGGAUUCUUUGGGCGGUGAGUGCCAGAGGGCCCCAGUCACCCAGAACCCCCACCCCGAGUCAAAGCGCUGAAAUGAGCCCCGCGGCAGGGGCCGUGUUCAUUACCUUUGAAAAUGCUCAGUUCUUCUUCGGUCCAGGGCGGGGCAGAAGGGAGGAUGCAGAGGGAGAAACAGGACACGAGAUGACCAAGGUUUCACAUAAUAAUGGUAAUUCAGUUCUGCACAUUAGCUCUCCCUGCCAUCAUCCAUCCGGUUCAUAGAAGUGGACAGGAUAUGAGGAAGGCUUCAGUGAUC
rnacentral:lncRNA from 1 species